ACUGCUCCGCCUGAGAGGAACCCUGGGGUUUAACGCUGAAGUGCGUUUCUCGGAGGGCAGAGCUGGAGCAUCUCGCAGCCCUACAACUUCUUUGCGGCGCUCGGUCUGACUUUGCGUUGCGAGAUCAGGAUCGGUGUGUUGCUCAGACACCGACCGAAGGCCACCAGCACGUCUAGGAGUCUCCUGUGCCUGGAAGAGGCUGGUUUCAUUCGAUUCUAAAAGAAACGGAUGUUGAAACAUUUGUAGCAGACAUACUGAAAGGAGAAAAUUUAUCCAAGAAAGCAAAGGAAAAGAGAGAAUCCCUUAUUAAGAAGAUAAAAGAUGUAAAGUCUAUCUAUCUUCAGGAAUUUCGAGACAAAGGUGAUGCAGAAGAUGGGGAAGAAUAUGAUGACCCUUUUGCUGGGCCUCCAGACACUAUUUCAUUGGCCUCAGAACGAUAUGAUAAAGACGAUGAAGCCACCUCUGAUGGAGCCCAGUUUCCUCCAAUUGCAGCACAAGACCUUCCUUUUGUUCUAAAGGCUGGCUACCUUGAAAAACGCAGAAAAGAUCACAGCUUUCUGGGAUUUGAAUGGCAGAAACGGUGGUGUGCUCUCAGUAAAACAGUAUUCUAUUAUUAUGGAAGUGAUAAAGACAAACAACAGAAAGGUGAAUUUGCAAUAGAUGGCUACAGUGUCAGAAUGAAUAACGCUCUAAGAAAGGAUGGAAAGAAAGAUUGCUGUUUUGAAAUUUCUGCUCCUGAUAAACGUAUAUAUCAGGUUGUAGUUUUUAUGUUGCCUUGAAAUUAAGUUGAUAAAAUGUUUUGAUUUCAUUUAUAGACAUUAACAUUUGAUUAAUACUUUCCUUGACAUGUUAACAAUAGUAAAAAUACUGGUGUUUAAAUACAUUAUGCAUUGAACAUUCAUGUAAGAGGAAUUUUUUAAAAAUUUCAGAUUGGUUCAAACACUAUCUUCUUG
rnacentral:sRNA from 1 species